AGGACUACACGGGUUUCUAAUCCUGUUUGAUACCCACACUUUCGAGCAUCAAUGUCAGUUACAGGUUAGUAAGCUGCCUUCGCAAUCGGAGUUCUUCGUGAUAUCUAAGCAUUUCACCGCUACACCACGAAUUCCGCCUACCUCUGUUGCACUCAAGGUCGCCAGUAUCAACUGCAAUUUUACGGUUGAGCCGCAAACUUUCACAACUGACUUAACUGUCCACCUACGCUCCCUUUAAACCCAAUAAAUCCGGAUAACGCUCGGAUCCUCCGUAUUACCGCGGCUGCUGGCACGGAGUUAGCCGAUCCUUAUUCAUACGGUACAUGCAAAAAUCCACACGUGGAUCCGUUUAUUCCCGUAUAAAAGAAGUUUACAAUCCAUAGAACCUUCAUCCUUCACG
rnacentral:misc_RNA from 1 species